rnacentral:rRNA from 1 species
GGGACACGUGGUAUCCUGUCUGAAUAUGGGGGGACCAUCCUCCAAGGCUAAAUACUCCUGACUGACCGAUAGUGAACCAGUACCGUGAGGGAAAGGCGAAAAGAACCCCGGCGAGGGGAGUGAAAAAGAACCUGAAACCGUGUACGUACAAGCAGUGGGAGCCUCUUAAUGGGGUGACUGCGUACCUUUUGUAUAAUGGGUCAGCGACUUAUAUUCUGUAGCAAGGUUAACCGAAUAGGGGAGCCGAAGGGAAACCGAGUCUUAACUGGGCGUUAAGUUGCAGGGUAUAGACCCGAAACCCGGUGAUCUAGCCAUGGGCAGGUUGAAGGUUGGGUAACACUAACUGGAGGACCGAACCGACUAAUGUUGAAAAAUUAGCGGAUGACUUGUGGCUGGGGGUGAAAGGCCAAUCAAACCGGGAGAUAGCUGGUUCUCCCCGAAAGCUAUUUAGGUAGCGCCUCGUGAAUUCAUCUCCGGGGGUAGAGCACUGUUUCGGCAAGGGGGUCAUCCCGACUUACCAACCCGAUGCAAACUGCGAAUACCGGAGAAUGUUAUCACGGGAGACACACGGCGGGUGCUAACGUCCGUCGUGAAGAGGGAAACAACCCAGACCGCCAGCUAAGGUCCCAAAGUCAUGGUUAAGUGGGAAACGAUGUGGGAAGGCCCAGACAGCCAGGAUGUUGGCUUAGAAGCAGCCAUCAUUUAAAGAAAGCGUAAUAGCUCACUGGUCGAGUCGGCCUGCGCGGAAGAUGUAACGGGGCUAAACCAUGCACCGAAGCUGCGGCAGCGACACUAUGUGUUGUUGGGUAGGGGAGCGUUCUGUAAGCCUGUGAAGGUGGCCUGUGAGGGUUGCUGGAGGUAUCAGAAGUGCGAAUGCUGACAUAAGUAACGAUAAAGCGGGUGAAAAGCCCGCUCGCCGGAAGACCAAGGGUUCCUGUCCAACGUUAAUCGGGGCAGGGUGAGUCGACCCCUAAGGCGAGGCCGAAAGGCGUAGUCGAUGGGAAACAGGUUAAUAUUCCUGUACUUGGUGUUACUGCGAAGGGGGGACGGAGAAGGCUAUGUUGGCCGGGCGACGGUUGUCCCGGUUUAAGCGUGUAGGCUGGUUUUCCAGGCAAAUCCGGAAAACCAAGGCUGAGGCGUGAUGACGAGGCACUACGGUGCUGAAGCGACAAAUGCCCUGCUUCCAGGAAAAGCCUCUAAGCAUCAGGUAACAUCAAAUCGUACCCCAAACCGACACAGGUGGUCAGGUAGAGAAUACCAAGGCGCUUGAGAGAACUCGGGUGAAGGAACUAGGCAAAAUGGUGCCGUAACUUCGGGAGAAGGCACGCUGAUAUGUAGGUGAAGCGACUUGCUCGUGGAGCUGAAAUCAGUCGAAGAUACCAGCUGGCUGCAACUGUUUAUUAAAAACACAGCACUGUGCAAACACGAAAGUGGACGUAUACGGUGUGACGCCUGCCCGGUGCCGGAAGGUUAAUUGAUGGGGUUAGCGGUAACGCGAAGCUCUUGAUCGAAGCCCCGGUAAACGGCGGCCGUAACUAUAACGGUCCUAAGGUAGCGAAAUUCCUUGUCGGGUAAGUUCCGACCUGCACGAAUGGCGUAAUGAUGGCCAGGCUGUCUCCACCCGAGACUCAGUGAAAUUGAACUCGCUGUGAAGAUGCAGUGUACCCGCGGCAAGACGGAAAGACCCCGUGAACCUUUACUAUAGCUUGACACUGAACAUUGAGCCUUG